rnacentral:lncRNA from 10 species
UGGCUUUCCACCGUAAGGAAAACUGCCCAGUCUCCCCUCUGGCUACCAGUGAAGGCUUGUGGGGUUUUCUUUGAUUCGCCCUCCAAACACACAAGACACUUCCAGAAUCUUCUUAUUCUCCAGAGGAAAAUGUUUCAUCAAAACACCAGAGGCAGCCAGCAUUUUGACAAGAAAACACAACAAACUUCAUUUCUUUGGAAAUUUGAUCUAGGAAAAUGUGUCUCUCUCAUUUUGCUAAUGGAUGUCUGUUUAUCAGUCAGAGACCAUGAAACGACUCCUUAUUUUGAAUAUCAGAUUUUCUUCUUAUUCUCAAACCUCAAAACAGCUUGGUAAUAAUUUAUUUGGAAAUUAUCCGAAAGGUAAAAAUAAAAACAGAAGCAAGUAAUAUGCCUUGUUACUGCUCCUUAAUUAGGUAAGAGCCUCAUUUCUUGGGCUGCUGG